rnacentral:lncRNA from 1 species
GAUGAUGCCGGGCGCAGGACGGCUCACGAUCCCAGGUGGACUCUGCGCGCCCCAAACCAGCGGUCACAGGGCCCAAAUGGAAACCAGAGAGCUCUGAAGAGGCCUCAGCGGUUAGUUACCCAGGACUGCAGAGACACCCUUCACCCCUGCAUGCGUUUGAUCUGACUCCACCAGAAGGCCCAGUCGCCAACGCCUAGCUGAGGUCCCAGGCCUGGCCUUACCCCCAACCCCUUCCCUCGGCCUCCAAUUGAAGGGAGGCCUGCCCGGCUCCAACUCAAUUAGCACAAAGGCGGCGGCGACGGGAACCCUGGUCUGUGCGGCAGGGCAGGGAGCAUCCUGGCGGGCAGGUAGAGAGGAACGCGCUAGCCCGGGGUCUUAUCAGCAAGCGGCUUAAUUAGGAAUUUGAGCUGACAACGUGCGCACCGCCACCCGGGCUCCGCCAGCCAGCCGGUUGAUGGUGGGAGUGAGACCCAAGAGGCUGGAGCCCCAGGCUUCAAAGCCGCCCGAGGUGCGGCGGCCUUGGGGAGGGGGGGGGCGCCCGGCGACCCCGAGCGCCGCCUGGACAGAAGCCGGCGGGCCAGUGGGCACUGGACCAUCUUCCCGGCGAAGUCACACAAAGAAGAAAACGACAAGGCAGACCAACAGAUGAACAGGAUCUGGAGUGACCAGAAGCAGACCAGAUGCCCUGGGAUGACAUCACAGGAGGGGCUGACAUUGUGGGGAACAGUGCUUGAAGACAAUGGUGACACUUUCUGGGAAGACAUUUCCGGAUCUGCGAAGGUACAGAAGUCCAAGUUUGACAUGGUGAGUCCCAACCUUCACCAUUGAUCUUUGUGCCCUCCUGGUAGAGCUGAGCCCUGCCUGUGGGGUGAUAGUGGGGCCAUUACAUGUGUGUAGAGGAUGAAGACAGUCACAGUGACAUGCCAGACAUUUAUUAUGCAUCAGUAGUCUUCAGUCAUUGUGCCCACAGCACCCACUUGAAAGUCAUUCCUAGCUGACAUGGCACCUCAACCGGAAUCUUCUAAGGAUCCUGUGAGCCACAUGAGGCUACUUAGAAUACGUUCUUCUCUUCGGCCGCUGGUCUGGGAUGAGCACUUGCCCAUGUCUGCUUCUGUUAGCCAUGAAUGCUUCUGCCUUCUUUUUAAGGAAUAAAUAUAUAUUCUUUGAUGGUUCCAUGCAUGUACACAUGUACUGUCUGUUAAUUAUAUUUUAUGCCACUCCCUCUCACUCCCUCAUGUCUUCUCAAUAUCUCCUCUCUUCUCCCUCCCCUCCAUCCUCUUCCUUCUCCUCCUCCUCUUCUUUAAAACCACACCCAGUCCAGUGAGUGUUGCCUGAACACACAUGGGUAUUGAGCCAUCCCAGGGGCAUGGGCAGCCUACCAGCAGCCAUCCAUACCUUCGGAGAAGCUCAGCCGUCCUCCCUUGGAAGCAUCCGUUGUAAGUAGGUCCUCACCCAGGGAUGGGAUUUUAUGAGCCUCUCCCGUCCAUGCUGGAUAUUGACUGGCUCCAUCGUGUGCACAUCACCACAGUUGCUGUGAGUUCUUGAAUCCGAUGCUCACACAUCGUGUCCAGAGGACAGCAUUUCACGCCUCUCCCCCAGCCUCUAGCUCUGAUGUUCUUCCUGCUUCCCCUCCCACAGUGUCCCCUGAGCUCUGCAGGGGACAGGUGGAUAUAGGUGUCCCAUCAGGGUUGAACACUCAAUGGUCACUUACUGUUAGCACUUGGAUCAAGCUGUGCGUCCCGGCACUAACCACUACACUGGAAGAAGCAGCUUCCUGAGCAAUGCUAAUUUAUGGCUAUAAAUAGAAAUAUUGAGGAGGCAACUUGACAGCGAGUCCAUUUAACUGGUAGUUUCUCCCCUAGGGCCUGUGACCUCCGCACCCACAACUUUUGACCAGGUGCAUGGCACUAGACUUGUGUUCCCUCCUAUGAAGCAGACCUCAGAUCCUGUCAGAAAGCAGUUGAUUCCCGCAACCACCACGCCUCUAUUUCACUGGUAGCAGGGCUUGCUUUGGCUUUGUUCCUUAACUUCCAGCUACCUUGAGAUCUUCUAGGCAGCUCCCCUGCAGCCAGAGAACCAGCUAUUCAGCUGCGUGUGACAGAUGACAGUAUCUCCCCCCCACACACACACUGCCCAUCCAAAGCUCUGUCCUGGUGCCAGCCUCUUGUGCUCUCAGAAAGAAAGAGGCAUCUACAACUGCUGGAAAUUAGAGCACUCGGGGUUCCGUGGUAUUACGCGGCGGCACUCCACCGGCCUGGGAGUGCGGAGCUGAUUGGACGUCCCACCCAAAGGAGAGGCGGUUCAAGCUCUUUCCAGGAAAUUGACUGGAACACCCAAACUGACAUCCAAUAUUAAAUAUUAUAUUUGCGGAGUUGU